GGCCCAAUGGUCUAGUGGUACGAUGCUCGCUUUGGGUUUUCUCAACGCUUGCGAGCGGUCCAGGGUUCGAACCCCUGUUGGGCCC